rnacentral:tRNA from 2 species
GCUGUGGUGUCCGAGUGGUUAAGGAGAUGGACUCGAAAUCCAUUGGGCUAUGCCCGCACAGGUUCGAAUCCUGUCCACAGCG